rnacentral:lncRNA from 1 species
UGCAAAUACUGAAUCGCAUACAUGUUGCAUGGCUUUGGCUGGAUACAAGAAACAAAAUUUCUUGUAGUUACCGAUUUAGUAACUCUACACAAUAAGAUAUUAUUUUUUUCGUUUUCUUUCCCAAAAAUUGUUGUAUGCACAAAUCAUCCUAAGGGUUGUAAUAUUUGCACAAGUAGGAUACAAGGAGAAAAUAGUGUCAUACAUUCAAUCUUGAUUAGUUGAUCUAUCUCUUCAUACAUGUGGUGCCGGCGGUACAUUACUUUCCAUGCGAUCUGCAACAAGAAAUUUAAGUAGGUAAACACAAGAAAACUUCAUGUAUUAAAAAAGAACUGAUUAUAAGAGUAAAUACAAUUCAUAAACCUUAUCAACAAUUAAAAGAAUAGAAGUCAACACUAUCUUGAAAUAAAUGCAAUUGAAAAUCAAAUAGUAAAUCUGUUCGGUAAAAAUUAGAGACCAACCAGAAGCAGCGUAAGCCAAUUACGUCUUAUGCUCCAAGUCUUUUGAGGAU